rnacentral:rRNA from 1 species
GCAUAUCAAUAAGCGGAGGAAAAGAAACCAACAGGGAUUGCCCCAGUAACGGCGAGUGAAGCGGCAAGAGCUCAAAUUUGAAAGCUGGCCCCCUCGGGGUCCGCAUUGUAAUUUGCAGAGGAUGCUUCGGGAGUGGCCCCCAUCUAAGUGCUCUGGAACGGGCCGUCAUAGAGGGUGAGAAUCCCGUAUGGGAUGGGGUGUCCGCGACCAUGUGAAGCUCCUUCAACGAGUCGAGUUGUUUGGGAAUGCAGCUCUAAAUGGGUGGUAAAUUUCAUCUAAAGCUAAAUAUUGGCCGGAGACCGAUAGCGCACAAGUAGAGUGAUCGAAAGAUGAAAAGCACUUUGAAAAGAGAGUUAAAAAGCACGUGAAAUUGUUGAAAGGGAAGCGCUUGCGACCAGACUCGCCUGCGGGGUUCAGCCGGUAUUCGUACCGGUGUACUUCCCCGUGGGCGGGCCAGCGUCGGUUUGGGCGGCCGGUCAAAGGCCCUCGGAAUGUAACGCCUCUCGGGGCGUCUUAUAGCCGAGGGUGCCAUGCGGCCAGCCCGGACCGAGGAACGCGCUUCGGCACGGACGCUGGCAUAAUGGUCGUAAGCGACCCGUCUUGAAACACGGACCAAGGAGUCUAACAUCUACGCGAGUGUUCGGGUGUCAAACCCGUGCGCGCAGUGAAAGCGAACGGAGGUGGGAACCCUCGCGGGUGCACCAUCGACCGAUCCUGAUGUCUUCGGAUGGAUUUGAGUAAGAGCGUAGCUGUUGGGACCCGAAAGAUGGUGAACUAUGCCUGAAUAGGGCGAAGCCAGAGGAAACUCUGGUGGAGGCUCGCAGCGGUUCUGACGUGCAAAUCGAUCGUCAAAUUUGGGUAUAGGGGCGAAAGACUAAUCGAACCAUCUAGUAGCUGGUUCCUG